AUAUUGGGCAAUGGACGCAAGUCUGACCCAGCCAUGCCGCGUGGAGGAUGACGGCCUUCGGGUUGUAAACCUCUUUCAGUAGGGAAGAAGCGAAAGUGACGGUACCUGCAGAAGAAGCGCCGGCUAACUACGUGCCAGCAGCCGCGGUAAUACGUAGGGCGCAAGCGUUAUCCGGAUUUAUUGGGCGUAAAGAGCUCGUAGGCGGUUUGUCGCGUCUGCCGUGAAAGUCCGAGGCUCAACCUCGGAUCUGCGGUGGGUACGGGCAGACUAGAGUGAUGUAGGGGAGACUGGAAUUCCUGGUGUAGCGGUGAAAUGCGCAGAUAUCAGGAGGAACACCGAUGGCGAAGGCAGGUCUCUGGGCAUUUACUGACGCUGAGGAGCGAAAGCAUGGGGAGCGAACAGG
rnacentral:rRNA from 1 species